UCUUAAUCGUUCAUUAAGUAUUUUUUUUUGCAGAGUGAACAUACACACGAGAGACAAAAGCUCAUGCAAUGUGCAUCUAGCUUAUUCAAGUGCUCCACAUUUUGUUCUUUGUUUGACUGAGUUAGUGACAAAUGUUGUUCAUCAUUGGUCCAGCUUCUAUCAGUGAGGCAGAAAAUGAGCAAGAUGGAGAAGUUGAAUCAUCACCAUAUUAACUGGGAUUGGAGAAAGGUCACUGGAUUCACAGAACAUUUCAGAUUCAACCAGAAACCCUUGGUAUUGAAGACGAGAUGAAACCAGGAGCUGAAUAGGCCCUUGCAAAGGGAGGAUCUGACUGAAUUAACUGAUAAUUCUAUGAAAGAGAAAGUGGUUGCAAGUAAUGAAACAAAACAUGUAAAACCCUAAA